rnacentral:rRNA from 1 species
GGGUUGGUGGUAAUAGCGGAAGUGGUACACCCAGCUUACAUUUCGAACCUGGAAGUUAAGCCUUCUAGCGCUGAUGGUACUUUGUCUUAAGACAUGGGAGAGUAAGUCACUGCCACCCUU